rnacentral:rRNA from 1 species
UACGGAGGGUGCAAGCAUUAAUCGGAUUUAUUGGGCGUAUAGGGCGCGUAGGCGGGUAGGAAAGUCAGAUGUGAAAUCCUGGGGCUCAACCCCAGAACAGCAUUUGAAACUUCUUACCUAGAGGGUAGGCGGAGAAAAUGGAAUUCCACAAGUAGCGGUGAAAUGCGUAGAUAUGUGGAAGAACACCGGUGGCGAAGGCGGUUUUCUAGCUUACACCUGACGCUGAGGCGCGAAAGCAAGGGGAUCAAACAGG